AUUGGAGAAGAUCUGACAACCUGUGCUUCUGCACAGAAAUAAAAACAGUAUCUAACGCUAAUGUUAAGUAUGAAUGAUUUUGAAAAUGGCAGCCAAGCUUCAUGACUCCUCCAUGGUUUCAAAUAUGAACCAUAACUGUUCCUUGUGGAGCUGAAGGAACUAUUUUUCUUUCUUUCUUCCCUUCUUCUGUCUUUACAGGAGGUCCUGCCACAGCAGCUUUGCCAUGAUGCCUGGGACAUGGGAAAUGGUGGAGACUUUGUGUAAAGUACCUUCUUUAUUGCCCUGUGGGACUGCCUAAGAGAACGUCUUUCAUUUUGCCUCAGGAAACAGGAGUGGCGGGAUUUCAGUGGUGUUGCCUUCUGAGAGCUGUGGAGGGAGGGCCAUGUUUUUAGAUCUUGGGUGAAUCACCUGCAAGAUUAGGUGAGAGUAUUAGGCAGGCUCCAAUCCGUUUGGGCUUUAAGAUGAGAUAGCCUCAUGCACUCGAAGGGCUGAAGCUUCCCUCUGAGUUCAGCUGGUUGUGACAGGCAAACUCAUGAAGCCCAAGGGGAGUUUUCUUCCGAUGCUACAAAAGAGUGGAGUGGCUGGUGUACUGUGUGUGCUGAAUCUGCACAGGGCUGGGUGGUGGCCCUUAAGCUUUCAUCAGCAUAGAGCCAUUAGGGGAUGAAGCUAUGAAAAACACGAUGCCUGGGCUGGAGAGCCUACCAUGACAUUUCCAGAGUAAGGCCCAGAAAUCUACAUUUUGAAGAAGCAUGCCCAGAGAAUUCUGCUGCAGGGAGGUCACGGAUCUGGGGGAGGAGAACGUGGUGCAGAGGAGGGAAGGAUGGCACUUGACAAUUCUCUCACUUGCUGUUUCUCAAGCUGCCACUCCAGGUGGCCUCGUCUCUUGAGUUGACUCCUCUCCAUCCCCACUUGCCACCACCUUCCUUCAGACUGCCACCCUCUCCUGCACAGAUUAAUGCCACAGCUUCCUGACUGGACGUCUGGUCCCCUGUCUUGUCCUUCUCCAGUGUAUCUGCUCAUCUUUCAAUAUACAAAUCUGAUGAGGAUGGUCUCUGGUUCAAAACUCUUCAUAGGAAGAGCACACGUCUGUAC